UACGUAGGGUGCAAGCGUUGUCCGGAAUUAUUGGGCGUAAAGAGCUCGUAGGCGGCUCGUCGCGUCGGCUGUGAAAUCCCGGAGCUCAACUCCGGGUCUGCAGUCGAUACGGGCGGACUUGAGUACUGCAGGGGAGACUGGAAUUCCUGGUGUAGCGGUGAAAUGCGCAGAUAUCAGGAGGAACACCGGUGGCGAAGGCGGGUCUCUGGGCAGUAACUGACGCUGAGGAGCGAAAGCGUGGGGAGCGAACAGG
rnacentral:rRNA from 1 species